rnacentral:lncRNA from 1 species
UGUACUCAUUUAUAAGUGUAUAUUAGCCAAAAAGUACAUAGUCCACAGACUCAGAGAAGCUAAGUAACAAGGAGGGCCCAAGGGAGAACUCUUGAGUCUCAUUAAGAAGGGGAAAUAGAAUAGACAUUGGAGGUUGAUGGAGGGAGGGGACUGGGUAGGAGAGGACUUGGCAAUUAGAACAGGCUCAAUCUGGUUGGGGUAGGACUGAUGGAGACAGUACUGGGAAAAACAACUGUAAUUGGGAUCAGGGAUCAUCUCUAGGAUGAGCUAGAAACCUAGGACAAUGGAAAUUCCCAGGAAUCUAUGAGGGUGACCAUAAUGAAGGUGCCUAUCAAUGGUGGUUAUAGAACUUGAAAUGGUCAUCUUCUGUAACCAGGCAAUACUUCCAAUUCAGGGGUUGGGAUACCAACCCAGCUACAAAACCCUAGACCCAUAAAAUUUCUUUCUUACAAUUUAUUCUGGGAUAAGGAUGGUGCAGAAGGGAGGGAAUAGCCAAUCAGUGACUGGGCCAACUUGAGACCUAAUCCAUGAGAGGGAUCCCAUUUCUCACACAAUGAUACUCUGAAAUACUUGCAGACAGGAGCCUAGCAUAAAUGCCAUCAGAGAGGCUUAACCCACCAACUGAUGGAAACAUGCAGAGAGCCACAACCAAACAGUAGGUGGAGCUUGGGGAAUCCUUUGGAAGAGGAAGGAUUAAAGGAGCCAAAGAAGUCAAGGACACCACAAGAAAAUCAACUAACUUGAGCUCACAAAGACUAAGCCACCAACCAGCCAGCAUGCAUAGUAUGGACCUAGGCCCCUUACAUAUAUGUAACACACAUGGUCUUCAUGUAAGAUCCCUAACAGCAGGAGCAGGGGCUGUCUUUGAUUCUGCUGCCUGCCUUUGGAUCUUUUCCCCCUAACUAGGCUGCCUUGUCUAGGCUCAAUAGGAGAAGAUACACUUAGUCCUACUGCAACUUGAUAUGCCAAAGCUGCUUGAUAUCUAUGAGAGGCCCCCUUUUUCUGAGGAGAAAAGGAAAACAGUGAAUGGCAGAGGAAGGGACUGGGAAGAGAGAAAGGAGGGGAAACUGGUAUCAGAAUGUAAAGUAAAUAAGUUAAAGUAAAUAAAAAGAAACAGGAAAAGGUAGAAGUCAGCCAUCCUUUGCUGUGAUCCUGGGAGUGAUUCUGGGAAGAUCUUCAGUUUGAGAAGGACUGCACUAGAUGAGUGAAUAUAUGGAAUAUGUGGAACAUGCAAAAAUACAUGUGUCUUAUAUAUAUUUAUAUCUUUUUAUCAAAUGUAAGUAAGAUUAUUGUUUUAAAGAAAGCUGAAUGCAUUGUGAGAAGAUUUGGGACACCAGAAGUUUAUAUCAGUAGCUUCUUCAUUUAAUAUUUAACCAGAUAAAGUAAAUUAUAUGAGAAAUGCCUGAACUUAUAAAAAUCUGCACCCAAACUCUCUACCCCAUCUUAUAGAAACCCCAGACUUCAAAAUUGUAUGUGUGGCCUUCCAUUCAUAAAUUUCCCAUAAUAGAGCACUGGAAUGCCAACUCUCCUUCCUCACUUUAGAUUUGAACAUUUUCUUCUUUGUCUCCACAGAUAGGUUUAUAAUUUACAGACCAUUAGCUUCUCACUGGAUCAACCUCACAGCCUGUUAAAUAGUCAUUGGGCUGCCUUUUCUUUCCUUUUCAGCCUUCUGCUUGUUCUUGAGCUUCUGGCUCCUGUUAUUACCUCUGCUCAUAAUGGGUUUAGUUGCUGUAACCAUACUGACCCUAUUGCUCCUUCCCAGAACCUGCUUAGAUAGCUCCUCUCCAGGAACCUGUCUCCAGAAAUGCAGUUGGAAAUGUAGAGCCUUCAGUUUCCCCUUGAGAAUCACAUAUUGCAGCUCACUGUACAUUGCCUGCUUAUUUUAUAUAGCUUACCCGUCCUGUCUCCCUCUUUUACCUAGGUAAAUUGUAAGCUCCACAAUACUCACAACUGCCAUUCAUUCUAUUAUAUCACUGUCUCUAACAGAGUAAGUAAGUUCCAGUAUUUUUUAAUGGUAAUUGGAAAUAAUUUUGGAGGUUACUUUUUUACCCUAAAGUUUCAUUCUGUUCAUUUUUCUAUUUAUCAAAUAAUUAUAAAAUGCCUCUGUAUUCCAGGAAUUAUGAUAGUUGCCCUGAUUCAACUCUGAUAAUUUCCAAAUAGUCAUAGCAUCGGUACUUAUCAUGUAGUAGAGGAAAUUAACAAUUAACAAGUACAUUAUAUCCAAUGUAUAGAGAUAAAGAGAAGAAGCUGGAAUGUCAAGGGCACAUGGCAGCCAAUGCAGAUUUUAGAUCAGAGAAGGAAAUGGUACUUGGUCCCUUACUUAGUCUCUCAGUUGAAGAAAGGGGACACAUGUUCU